rnacentral:rRNA from 1 species
AGUGAACGCUGGCGGCAGGCCUAACACAUGCAAGUCGAACGGCAGCAGAGUGAUUGCUCCCUCUUACGGCGGCCGAGGGGCGGGUGAUGCCUGGGAACAUCCCUGUCUACGGUUGCGAGGGUCAGAACGUGGGCGAACAUACCCUAAUAGUCCAGAGGGCGAACGUGGGGGAGCUUCGGAUCUCACGCUCUCACGUGAGCCUAGGUCGGAUUAGCUAGUUGGGGGGGUAAAGGCCUACCAAGGCGACGAUCCGUAGCUGGUCUGAGAGGAUGAUCAGCCACACUGGAACUGAGACACGGUCCAGACUCCUACGGGAGGCAGCAGUGGGGAAUAUUGGACAAUGGGCGAAAGCCUGAUCCAGCCAUGCCGCGUGUGUGAAGAAGGUCUUCGGGUUGUAAAGCCCUUUUAGUGGGGAAGAAAAGCAGUAGGUUAAUACCUCGCUGUUUUGACGGUACCCAAAGAAUAAGCACCGGCUAACUUCGUG